rnacentral:misc_RNA from 15 species
GGCAAGGAGGUAAAAAUGAAAUAGU